rnacentral:rRNA from 1 species
UGGGGAAUAUUGCACAAUGGGCGCAAGCCUGAUGCAGCAACGCCGCGUGAGGGACGACGGCCUUCGGGUUGUAAACCUCUUUUAGUAGGGAAGAAGCGAAAGUGACGGUACCUGCAGAAAAAGCACCGGCUAACUACGUGCCAGCAGCCGCGGUAAUACGUAGGGUGCGAGCGUUGUCCGGAAUUAUCGGGCGUAAAGAGCUCGUAGGCGGUCUGUCGCGUCUGCUGUGAAAAACCCGAGGCUCAACCUCAGGCCUGCAGUGGGUACGGGCAGACUAGAGUGCGGUAGGGGAGAAUGGAAUUCCUGGUGUAGCGGUGGAAUGCGCAGAUAUCAGGAGGAACACCGAUGGCGAAGGCAGUUCUCUGGGCCGUAACUGACGCUGAGGAGCGAAAGCGUGGGGAGCGAACAGGAUUAGAUACCCUGGUAGUCCACGCCGUAAACGUUGGGCGCUAGAUGUGGGGACCAUUCCACGGUUUCCGUGUCGCAGCUAACGCAUUAAGCGCCCCGCCUGGGGAGUACGGCCGCAAGGCU